ACUCCUACGGGAGGCAGCAGUGGGGAAUAUUGGACAAUGGGGGGAACCCUGAUCCAGCCAUGCCGCGUGUGUGAAGAAGGCCUUAUGGUUGUAAAGCACUUUAAGCGAGGAGGAGGCUACUGAGACUAAUACUCUUGGAUAGUGGACGUUACUCGCAGAAUAAGCACCGGCUAACUCCGUGCCAGCAGCCGCGGUAAUACGGAGGGUGCGAGCGUUAAUCGGAAUUACUGGGCGUAAAGCGUACGCAGGCGGUUUGUUAAGCGAGAUGUGAAAGCCCCGGGCUCAACCUGGGAACUGCAUUUCGAACUGGCAAACUAGAGUGUGAUAGAGGGUGGUAGAAUUUCAGGUGUAGCGGUGAAAUGCGUAGAGAUCUGAAGGAAUACCGAUGGCGAAGGCAGCCACCUGGGUCAACACUGACGCUCAUGUACGAAAGCGUGGGGAGCAAACGGGAUUAGAUACCCUGGUAGGCUCUGCU
rnacentral:rRNA from 1 species